AUUUAUAUAGUUUAUAUAAAACGUUAUAUUUUCAUUAUAAAAAAAGAGUAAUCUUAUAAGUA
rnacentral:tRNA from 1 species